rnacentral:rRNA from 1 species
UGCGGUUAAAAAGCUCGUAGUUGGAUUUCUGUCCGAGGCAGCCGGUCCGCACCUGGUGCGUGUAUCAGGUUUGACUAGGGCAUCCCCUUGGGGAACGUUUCUGUGCUUCAUUGCAUGGGGCGGAAUUCAAGACAUUUACUUUGAGGAAAUUAGAGUGUUCACGGCAAGCUAUCGCUUUGAAUACAUUAGCAUGGAAUAAUAAUAUAGGGCGUAAGUCUUAUUUUGUUGGUUUCUAGGACAUACGCAAUGAUUAAUAGGGACAAUUGGGGGCAUUCGUAUUAACGCGUCAGAGGUGGAAUUCUUAGAUUGCGUUACGACGAACUACUGCGAAAGCAUUUGCCAAGGAUGUUUUCAUUGAUCAAGAACGAAAGUAUGGGGAUCGAAGACGCUUAGAUACCGUCGUAGUCUAUACCAUAAACUAUGCCAACUAGAGAUUGGAGGUCGUUCUCUUUAUGACUCCUUCAGCACCUUAUGAGAAAUCAAAGUCUUUGGGUUCCGGGGGGAGUAUGGUCGCAAGGCUGAAACUUAAAGGAAUUGACGGAAGGGCACCACCAGGA